rnacentral:rRNA from 1 species
UUUGGUGAUGAUGGCGGAGGGGUACCACGCGUUCCCAUACCGAACACGACCGUUAAGCCCUCCAGCGCCGAUCGUGCUUGGACGGCAAGGACCUGGGA